AGGUGGCAAGCGUUGUCCGGAAUUAUUGGGCGUAAAGCGCGCGCAGGCGGCCUUUUAAGUCUGAUGUGAAAGCCCACGGCUUAACCGUGGAAGGUCAUUGGAAACUGAAAGGCUUGAGGACAGAAGAGAAAAGCGGAAUUCCACGUGUAGCGGUGAAAUGCGUAGAGAUGUGGAGGAACACCAGUGGCGAAGGCGGCUUUUUGGUCUGUAACUGACGCUGAGGCGCGAAAGCGUGGGGAGCAA
rnacentral:rRNA from 1 species